ACCUGCAUCUGCGCGGCCACCGUGGCCUGCCGCUCGGCGGCCUUCUACUCCAUGCCCUCCGUCGGCCGCUCCACCGCCCGCCACGCCCCGUACAUCUCCACGGCGCCGCUGGAGCUGGGGUGCUGCGCGGGAAUGUCAUUGUUGCUGCUGCAGAACACGGUGACCGCGGCGAGGCUGACUUCGUUUCUUAGCACGGUGUCCCGGAGCUCCUGCCCUCUCUCUCAGGGUAUCUGUCUUUUCGGUUUGGGCGAGAACUGCGCCCGUGCAUACCUUCCUUUUUUUUUCUCGCGUCAAUGGUUUAGUUGCCUGCUUUAG
rnacentral:rRNA from 1 species